UACGUAGGCAGCGAGCGUUGUUCGGAGUUACUGGGCGUAAAGGGUGUGUAGGCGGUUGUUUAAGUUUGGUGUGAAAUCUCCCGGCUCAACUGGGAGGGUGCGCCGAAUACUGAAUGACUUCGAGUGCGGGAGAGGAGAGUGGAAUUCCUGGUGUAGCGGUGAAAAUGCGUAGAUAUCAGGAGGAAUACCGGUGGUGUAGACGGCUCUCUGGACCGUAACUGACGCUGAGACACGAAAAGCGUGGGUAGCAAACAGG
rnacentral:rRNA from 1 species